AUGUCUCCCUGUUCCAAAGCUGUGCAGACCGAAGGGGAGGUGGAGUCCUACCUGGUUGGAGGCCACGUCAACAAACCCACCCAGUCAUAUCUUCAACAUCACCAUGACGAUGCACACCAGCCUGUCCCGGCCCUCGGUCCUUCAUCAUCACCUGACCUACAGGUCUACAGGUGUGACGGGAUGAACCCACGAUAUCCAUCAAAUCUACAGGCUGAAGAAGAGUCGUCCUUUUGUGAAGAACUCGAGCGUCUCGUCUCUGAACAAAGUGCAACCUCCAGCAGCAGAGCCGCCUCCUCCCUGCUCUCCCCACCCCUCGUCUACCUUCUCCUGGCUGCAGCUCUGGCUGUUCUGGCCUGUCUGAUCUGGGUCGCCCUGGAGCCGCCGUGUCACUGCAGCAGCAGCAGGAUGCAUCGAAGCUUCCAUCUGGCACUGAGGUACAUCAAUGGACCGCCACCUACCUGAACGCCAUCCAGGGACUGUCAGAGUUUGACCAAAGCACUUUCUCAGGCUCUGUGACUCAUCACAUGAUGUGAAGAUCUGGAUCAUGUCAGCGAGGCCACGAGUGCAGCAAAAAGGACAGAAAUCUGCAGGGAUUCCACUUAUUCUCUUUUUCUCUGUGCUGUUUACACAAUUUCCCUGAAAUGUAUAAAAAUAGGAUUCAGUGUCUAUAAAAAGAGGCAGAUUAGGAAAGAUUUCUGCAUCAGCUUUAACAUUACGAUACUUAGAUUUGUAUUGGAAUGACUAAAAUAAUCAAUUCAAGAGAAAUAAGAUUAGGAAUCUUCUAUACCUUAAAAACCCACAAACAAAUCCACUCAUAACCAGAGUGUUUGAAAUAAAUCACUAAAUGAAAAACGACGUGUAUUUUUAGCAUUAAACAACAGCUCUGCUCUGUGUGCAUCUCUAUCCUGGACAAAUAUUCACCCAUUUGUUACCGACUUGUCCAAAAAAAGCAGCAAAGCUUUCAAAUUUAAGCUGCGUUGAUGAAUUGUGUCUGUGGGCGACUGGAACAAGGCUGAAUGUCCAACAAGAAACAUUAUCAGCGACUUUGAGUUUGGUGUUCGGCUCCUGAGCGGAAGCUGAUGGUCAGUUUGUGUUAAACCCCAGAAAACGGGAAACGAGGCAAAAAAUCUAUCGAAUCUAAAAUUCUACCAAGACUUAUACAAACAUGAUGUUUUAUUUAUUUUUCAUUCACAUUUUAAAUAGAUUCAGUUUGGAACCAACGUGUCUGCUUUCACCCAGUCCAGGAAACAUUCAGAUGCCUUUAAACUGAUGCAGACACCUCCUAAAGCCCAAAACCUUCUAACAUACACGAUGUAAUCAUGGUUUCAACCGCUUCAUUUACCAAAUGAAAACUUUAACGUCCACGCUGAUGCCGUUUUUUUUUGUAUGUUUUUUUUGGUCCGUUUUCACUUCUGUUAUAUGAAUGUUGAAGAAUAUUAAUUACAGUGCUCGUUAGGCAGGUGGAGUCUGUAGGUUUAGACUAAUCACUUGUAUUGUUUUGCUUGCAGUUGAUAUGUUUUACUGCUAUCUGUGCUUAUGCAGCUAAAGCUAAUGCAAAGGAGGCAGCUCUUGUAUUAGUAGCUUUGUGUUUCUCUGUAGACGGUAUCGGACUUUGACGGCCAUGUUAUUAAGUGUCUUACUGCCUUCUUACACCCUGAUAGCACUUAUAUUUCUAUUGCACUAAGAGAUUUUCUAACGUGUAGUCAGAGCAAAAGGACUCAAAGGGAACUGUACUGAAGUAGCAUCUAUGUCACAGGAUCAUGUCUGUUUUAGUCCAAACUACACCGAGCACAUCACGGCUGACCGGGUCUAACAUGGCAGCGUUUUAGAUUCAUUUAUGAAGUUGUUUCCUUCCCAGGUUCGAGGAAAAUCAUCUUGCAGCGACAUGAAGGUUGUUGUAAGAGAUAAUCCAUCAGAUUACGUCCAUUUAUUGUAGUGAAAGUUGUGUUGUUGUUGUGCCGUGAUCUAUGUGAAGAUGAAGCUGCCUUUCUAAGGAAAAGUAUGUCAAGUCUCUGCAAGCUGAUUUUUAAAGCUGCAGUGUUUGUUUUUACUACAGUGAGAAGACGGCAGGUUUGCACGUGCAGGGAUUGUUCAGUCUGCCUGAUCUCACGUGUGAGCAGAAAGUGUUUCACACUAACUUUAAAACUGAACUCAUGAUUUGGGAAACGAUCAGUAGCAACGCAACAUUUAUCGGACUGAAGAAGAGAAAACAUUAUUUCUGAUUCUUGAAUUCUGACUCUAUUUAUCUGUUUAUUUUUCUUUUCAUUUUCACAAUCUGUAAUAACCUGUCACAGUUGAAAUGUUUCCAGGUUUUUUAUUUAGUGAGUGACUGAAGAGUUACUUCAAGUCGCAGCUGUUUCAUUUAUCAACCCAGUGAAUUCAGCUUUGCUUUAGACAACGAGUGCAUCCACAGAACUGCACGGUGAAGGUUUAGGACGGUGCACUAGACUCAAAUGUGUCUUUUUUUUCUCAUCUGAUUAGUGUUUGUGUAUGUAGAAGUAAGUAGAAGUGUAUGUUUGACCCAAAUGUUGAAGAUGUCAGUCCAGGUUCUCUAACAAGGAUCAAACAGCCAUUCAUGGGAAAAAAGUGUAUUUUAAGGCUUUGACAAAAUAUUUGAAAAUCUAAAACUUUUCACUUUUUUAUAAGUUGAAUUUCUUUUCUCGGUUGUUGUUUAAUACUUCAAACAUCAGUUUUGUACACGACUUUGAAGAUAACAAAUAAAAAUAUGAUUAAA
ensembl:lncRNA